UACAGAGGGUGCAAGCGUUGUUCGGAAUUAUUGGGCGUAAAGGGCGCGUAGGCGGUGCUGUAAGUCUGUAGUGAAAUCUCUGGGCUCAACUCAGAGUCUGCUAUAGAAACUGCAGUGCUGGAGUGUGGGAGAGGUGAGUGGAAUUCCCGGUGUAGCGGUGAAAUUCGUAGAUAGUCGGGAGGAACACCGGUGGCGAAGGCGGCGAUCUGGGUAGAGUACUGACGCUGAGGUGGCGAAAAGCGUGG
rnacentral:rRNA from 1 species